UACGAAGGGGGCUAGCGUUGCUCGGAAUCACUGGGCGUAAAGGGUGCGUAGGCGGGUCUUUAAGUCAGGGGUGAAAUCCUGGAGCUCAACUCCAGAACUGCCUUUGAUACUGAGGAUCUUGAGUCCGGGAGAGGUGAGUGGAACUGCGAGUGUAGAGGUGAAAUUCGUAGAUAUUCGCAAGAACACCAGUGGCGAAGGCGGCUCACUGGCCCGGUACUGACGCUGAGGCGCGAAAGCGUGGGGAGCAAACAGG
rnacentral:rRNA from 1 species